rnacentral:rRNA from 1 species
UGCNGUCGAGCGAGAAAGCCUUCGGGUGAGUAGAGCGGCGGACGGGUGAGUAAUGCAUGGGAAUCUGCCUAGUAGUGGGGGACAACCGUUGGAAACGACGGCUAAUACCGCAUACGCCCUACGGGGGAAAGCGGGGGACCUUCGGGCCUCGUGCUACUAGAUGAGCCCAUGUCAGAUUAGCUAGAUGGUGGGGUAAUGGCCUACCAUGGCGACGAUCUGUAGCUGGUCUGAGAGGAUGAUCAGCCACACUGGGACUGAGGCACGGCCCAGACUCCUACGGGAGGCAGCAGUGGGGAAUAUUGCACAAUGGGGGAAACCCUGAUGCAGCCAUGCCGCGUGUGUGAAGAAGGCCUUCGGGUUGUAAAGCACUUUAAUCAGUGAGGAAAGGGUUAAGGUUAAUAGCUUUAAUCUGUGACGUUAGCUGAAGAAUAAGCACCGGCUAACUCCGUGCCAGCAGCCGCGGUAAUACGGAGGGUGCAAGCGUUAAUCGGAAUUACUGGGCGUAAAGCGCACGUAGGCGGUUUUUUAAGCUAGAUGUGAAAGCCCCGGGCUUAACCUGGGAACUGCAUUUAGAACUGGAAACCUAGAGUAUGGUAGAGGAGUGUGGAAUUUCAGGUGUAGCGGUGAAAUGCGUAGAGAUCUGAAGGAACAUCAGUGGCGAAGGCGACACUCUGGACCAAUACUGACGCUGANGUGCGAAAGCGUGGGUAGCAAACAGGAUUAGAUACCCUGGUAGUCCACGCCGUNNACGAUGUCUACUAGCCGUUGGGCUCCUUGAGGGCUUAGUGGCGUANCUAACGCGCUAAGUAGACCGCCNGGGGAGUACGGCCGCAAGGUUAAAACUCAAAUGAAUUGACGGGGGCCC